AUGGCGACCGGCGCACGGGUGAGUAACACGUAUCCAACCUGCCGAUAACUCGGGGAUAGCCUUUCGAAAGAAAGAUUAAUACCCGAUGGUAUAAUCAGACCGCAUGGUCUUGUUAUUAAAGAAUUUCGGUUAUCGAUGGGGAUGCGUUCCAUUAGGCAGUUGGUGAGGUAACGGCUCACCAAGCCUUCGAUGGAUAGGGGUUCUGAGAGGAAGGUCCCCCACAUUGGAACUGAGACACGGUCCAA
rnacentral:rRNA from 1 species